rnacentral:rRNA from 1 species
AACGUAGGGUGCAAGCGUUGUCCGGAAUUACUGGGUGUAAAGGGAGCGCAGGCGGACCGACAAGUUGGAAGUGAAAACUAUGGGCUCAACCCAUAAAUUGCUUUCAAAACUGCUGGCCUUGAGUAGUGCAGAGGUAGGUGGAAUUCCCGGUGUAGCGGUGGAAUGCGUAGAUAUCGGGAGGAACACCAGUGGCGAAGGCGACCUACUGGGCACCAACUGACGCUGAGGCUCGAAAGCAUGGGUAGCAAACAGG